rnacentral:rRNA from 1 species
UUGGACCUGAUAUCAAACAAGACUACCCGCU